rnacentral:rRNA from 1 species
UGGGUAACCGGCCUCAUAGUGGGGGAUGGCCUUCCGAAAGGGAGAUUAAUACCGCAUAAUAUCAUUAGAUGGCAUCAUUUAGUGAUCAAAGGAUUUAUUCGCUAUGAGAUGGACCCGCGUCGCAUUAGCUAGUUGGUAGGGUAAUGGCUUACCAAGGCGACGAUGCGUAGCCGACCUGAGAGGGUGAUCGGCCACAUUGGGACUGAGACACGGCCCAGACUCCUACGGGAGGCAGCAGUGGGGAAUAUUGCACAAUGGGGGAAACCCUGAUGCAGCAACGCCGCGUGAGUGAUGACGGUCUUCGGAUUGUAAAGCUCUGUCUUUGGGGACGAUAAUGACGGUACCCAAGGAGGAAGCCACGGCUAACUACGUGCCAGCAGCCGCGGUAAUACGUAGGUGGCGAGCGUUAUCCGGAAUUAUUGGGCGUAAAGGGAGCGUAGGCGGAUAAUUAAGUAGGAUGUGAAAUACUCAGGCUCAACCUGGGGGCUGCAUUCCAAACUGAUUAUCUAGAGUGCAGGAGAGGAGAGUGGAAUUCCUAGUGUAGCGGUGAAAUGCGUUAGAGAUUAGGAAGAACACCAGUGGCGAAGGCGACUCUCUGGAC